rnacentral:rRNA from 1 species
UACGUAGGGGGCAAGCGUUGUCCGGAUUUAUUGGGCGUAAAGAGCGUGUAGGCGGUCAGACAAGUCUGCUGUGAAAACUCGAGGCUCAACCUCGAGCUGUCGGUGGAAACUGUCUGGCUAGAGUCCGGAAGAGGAGAGUGGAAUUCCUGGUGUAGCGGUGAAAUGCGCAGAUAUCAGGAAGAACACCUAUGGCGAAGGCAGCUCUCUGGGACGGUACUGACGCUGAGACGCGAAAGCGUGGGGAGCGAACAGG